UACAGAGGGUGCAAGCGUUAAUCGGAAUUACUGGGCGUAAAGCGUGCGUAGACGGUCGUUUAAGUCGAGUGUGAAAUCCCCGGGCUCAACCUGGGAAUUGCAUUCGAUACUGGAUGGCUAGGGUGCGGAAGAGGGAAGCGGAAUUUCCGGUGUAGCGGUGAAAUGCGUAGAUAUCGGAAGGAACACCAGUGGCGAAAGCGGCUUCCUGGUCCAGCACCGACGUUCAGGCACGAAAGCGUGGGGAGCAAACAGG
rnacentral:rRNA from 1 species